rnacentral:rRNA from 1 species
CUACGGGUUGCAGCAGUGGGGAAUAUUGGACAAUGGGCGAAAGCCUGAUCCAGCAAUGCCGCGUGAGUGAUGAAGGCCUUAGGGUUGUAAAGCUCUUUUACCCGGGAUGAUAAUGACAGUACCGGGAGAAUAAGCUCCGGCUAACUCCGUGCCAGCAGCCGCGGUAAUACGGAGGGAGCUAGCGUUGUUCGGAAUUACUGGGCGUAAAGCGCACGUAGGCGGCUUUGUAAGUUAGAGGUGAAAGCCUGGAGCUCAACUCCAGAAUUGCCUUUAAGACUGCAUCGCUCGAAUCCAGGAGAGGUGAGUGGAAUUCCGAGUGUAGAGGUGAAAUUCGUAGAUAUUCGGAAGAACACCAGUGGCGAAGGCGGCUCACUGGACUGGUAUUGACGCUGAGGUGCGAAAGCGUGGGGAGCAAACAGGAUUAGAUACCCGAGUAGUC